rnacentral:lncRNA from 1 species
ACUUUUCAUCUUUUUUGUUCAGACCCAAAUAAUUGUUUGAUAAAAAAUCUGUCACAUCUGUAAGCCUCUAUUUCGAUAAGACACGGAAUCAAGUCCGGAUGGAAGAGAGGAACAUCUGAACUAUUUAUUACAAGAAUACCCUCACAAAUUUAAAGAAAUUAUCUCAUUUGCCUUUCUUCUUCUCUCCUCUGUUCUUGCAGCCCACCAAGUCGUCGGUGAUAAAGCUCCAUAGAUUCCGGUGAAGAUCAAUUAAUGGAAAGCUCUGGGCUCUAUGAACCGAUCCAAAGCUAUAGCUGUAAAACAAAGCCAUGACUGCUCACAAUGAAGAUAAAUAAAAACCAAAUCACAUCUACAUCUCAGAAUUUGUGCAAUUUAAAAAAAAAAAAAAACCUAGAUGCAGCAACUUUACCGAUUGGGUCUUGGUAUAGGAAGAAGCUCUACCUGUUUGUGAUAGCUUCAUGAUUCAGUAAUGUACUUGUAGCUUGGAAAUCCCAUUUUGUUUGUGCUU